rnacentral:rRNA from 1 species
GAUGAACGUUGGCGGUGUGCCUAAUACAUGCAAGUCGAACGGAGUUAAUAGCAAUAUUGACUUAGUGGCGAACGGGUGAGUAACGCGUUGGUGAUCUGCCUUGAAGUGUGGAAUAACGCUCCGAAAGGAGCGCUAAUACCGCAUGUGCUCUCAAUUUUUAGAAAGUUGAGAGGAAAGGAUUUAUUCGCUUCGAGAGGAGCCUGCGUCCCAUCAGCUGGUUGGUAGGGUAAAGGCCUACCAAGGCAAUGACGGGUAGGGGACCUGAGAGGGUCGGCCCCCCACAAUGGAACUGAAACACGGUCCAUACACCUACGGGUGGCAGCAGUAGGGAAUAUUAGAAAUGGACGAAAGUCUGAUCUAGCAACACCGCGUGUGCGAAGAAGGCCUUCGGGUCGUAAAGCACUUUUUGGAAGGAAUAGGAAGGAAUGUACUUCCAGAAUAAGUCUCGGCUAACUACGUG